UCUUACAGAUGAGCAAAUAAAGUGGUUUCUUGAGAUGGAGUCUACUCAAGGUGAAGAUGCUGUGAC
rnacentral:pre_miRNA from 1 species